GCAGUAUUGGCCUAAUGGUUAAGGCUCUGGGUUACUGAUCAGAAGGUCGGGGCUUCAAGCCCCAGCUGCG